AUCCGUGCAGCUCAGUUGGUAGAGCGCCCGCCCAUCAUGCGGGAUUGCGCAGGUUCGAUUCCCACGGUUG
rnacentral:tRNA from 1 species